CCUCCCCGCCGCAGCUGGGAGAGCCCCCCCCCCCCAGCCCGGCGGCUGCGUUAAUUUCCCCGGGGCGGUGCGGGUGCUCACGGGCAGCGGGGCCGUUGGGGUGCUGGGGAGCCCGGGUGGAACCGGGGUCCCAGGUCAGCCGGGAGCUGCUAAUUCCCAAGUGCUGAAGCCCCUCUGCUCGUAGCCGUCAGUUAAAGCCCAGGUCGUCUGACCCUCCCCGUUUCUUUUCCCGAAGCAGGACCCCCAGGAGCGGAGCUGGAGAUGAUCUCCCACAGGGAUCAGAAGGAGGAACUAUGGUUCUCCCACCUCCACACCUACGAAGGGAAGGGGAAGACCGUUCUGAGUGGCACCUGUGCAGCUGAAGAUGGGAUUGUGAACAAGAAGGAGGAGAAUGCCCACCAAUGCAUCCCCGGGCCAGUGGAGCCUGAGGGUUUACUCUCAGGACGCUCCAAGGACAACAGUUCCCAGAGUCCUGCACAGGACCUAGUCCUCCCACGCAGGUCAGAAAGGGUUCAGAGACCUCUGGAGAAGAGACAAAGCCGAGUGAUGCUGCGUGGAAAAAGUUUCAGGAGGCUGCCAGAUAUUAUCCAGCAGAGAAAUCCUUCUGUGGGGAGAUUGACGAUAUGUGGGGACUGUGGGAAAAGCUUCCGGGUGAGCUCCAACCUCGUCCAGCAUCGAAGAAUCCACACUGGAGAGAAACCUUUCGCCUGUGCCGAGUGCGGGGAGAGUUUCCGGCAGCGGUCACAUCUCAUCCAGCACCAGAGAAUCCACACAGGGGAGAGGCCCUACGAGUGCUCCGAGUGUGGAAAGAGCUUCAGCAUGAGCUCGAAGCUGAUCCGGCACCAGGUAACUCACACUGGGGAGAAGCCCUACAAGUGUGCCGAGUGUGGGAAGAGCUUCUCUGGGAACUCGCAGCUCGUCCAGCACCAGCGAGUGCACACUGGGGAGAAACCCUAUGAGUGCAGCAACUGUGGGAAGAGCUUCAGCGUGAGCUCAGCCCUGACACGACACCAGCGGGUCCACACCGGAGAGAAACCCUAUGAGUGCGCGGAGUGCGGGAAGAGCUUCAGCCAGAGCUCCGAGCUCAUGAAGCACCAGCGGGUCCACACUGGAGAGAAGCCGUACGAGUGCUCCGAGUGCGGGAAGAGCUUCACCGUGAGUUCAGCCCUCAUCCAACACCGACGGUUCCACAUGGGUGAGCGCCCCUAUGGGUGCUCCGAGUGUGGAAAGAGCUUCACUGUGAGCUCCCACCUCAUCCAGCACUGCCGCUUCCACACUGGGGAGCGUCCCUUUGAGUGCACAGAGUGUGGGAAGAGCUUCCUGUGGAGAUCAGCCUUGCUCCGGCACCACCGGGUCCACACAGGGGAGAGGCCCUACGCCUGCGCUGACUGUGGGGACAGCUUUCGGCAGAGUGCACAUCUCAUCCAGCACCGGCGCAUCCACACCGGGGAGCGUCCCUAUGCCUGUGCUGACUGCGGGAAGGGCUUCACCGUGAGCUCUGCGCUCCUCCGGCACCAGCAGAUCCACAGGGUUGGGGAGCCCUAGGAGGGGCUUGGGUAAAGGCUUCUGAGACCCCAUCAGAUGUCCCCUGUGUAGCAUGGAGAGCAGAGUUCCAGUGUUGAUUGCCUAAUCUCCAGCAC